rnacentral:lncRNA from 1 species
UGAUUUUGUUUGUCUGAACUAGCUGCUAGUCCAGUAGCUAGAGUGGCUAGCAAUCGUUAGCUAACACAUGCUGUUGUGCCUUUGUUACAGUAACUUACACACUGAGGUUAAGCAAUGUUGCUAGUUACAUUACAUGUAGAAAUGUAACUAGCUACAAUACCUUGACCGGAGCAUAACUGGUUAACUUCACACAAGAGACCUACUGUUGGACAAUCGUUUUGGCUUUAAAGAUGCUGUUUGCCAUUGUUCAGUUUAUUGAUGAGGAGGAUCAGCCAUUUGCAGUGGUUCCGCAAGUGUGGCUCAGCGAGGGCAUGUGCUAUUGGCCCCCAUUUAACCUCCGCAAAAAAGACAAAGGCAACAAUUUAGCCAUCCGCUGCACGCCUCCACACAGCACCUGGGAGAAACAUCAUUUUAAGUUUAUGAAGGGAGCAGAAUGUUGGCAAGAGGCGAUGAGAUAUUUGGUGCGCUUCCAAACAGGUUCUAGCGUUGAAACGACGGACGAUGACAAGAAGAGAAAGAGAAAGAGAAUCUCAAAUUCCAAGUACAGACCCCAGGCCUCUUCUGAUGAAGAGGAGUCUAGUCUUCCAGAUGCACCAGCAGUGCUGUCGUUUGGACAACCUCUUUUGAGCUUUGAAAACAUUGUUCCUGGUAACAAGGUUUCAGUGCUGCCCGAUGCUCCAGAAGUUGCAUCGAUUCCAGAAAACCAGGAAAAUGUUGUGCCAUCUGUAGACUUCAGAGGUGAACCAGGUUUCUCCCCAGAAAUUCAGACUCCACUUCACAGAGCCAAGAGUUUGAGUACAAGAGAAAGUCAUCGCUCUGUAAUUGGCCCUUGGACUCCCCUGGCAUCUCGUGUACAGCAUUAA